CAAUCCUCCUGCCACAGCCUCCCAAGUAGUUGGGACCACAGACAUCGCUGGCCUUCCAGGCUGGGUGAGGCAACCACUGUGGGCUCCCAAGCCUUUACGCGUCCCCAACCCAGCCCUGACUCUCUGAGUCAUCAAGGCCUGAGGACAAUCUGUGUUCCCAGUGAUGGCACAUGGCCCGCUAUUAUGUCUCUGCUGUGUCCUCUGCAGCACGUCGGGGUAGCAGGGACCAGCUUGCAAGCUUGAAGUGUGCAGAUGGAACACAGAGCACUCCAGCCACCCAGGCAGAUAUCAGAGGAUGGGCCCUCAGGCACUGAUUCCUGUCUGUCACCUGGGAGAGGCUCCCUGAGGCCAGGUGGAAAUCAUACCCGGAUGCCACCAGAAUGAUGAUUCAGCCCUUUCCGUGCUUGUUCCAGAGGGGAAGCCCAUGAAAGGAGGACAGCCAGUGCUCUCCUGUGUGCCACGUUCCAGAAGCUCAGUCUCACUCUGUCGCGCAGGCUGGAGUGCAGUGGCACGAUC
rnacentral:lncRNA from 1 species